rnacentral:pre_miRNA from 1 species
CAAAUACUCCCUCCGUCCCAAAAUUCUUGUCUUAGAUUUGUUUAGAUACGGAUGAAUCUAAUACUAAAACGUGACUUGAUACAUCCGUAUUUAGACAAAUCUAAGACAGGAAUUUUAGGAUGGAGGGAGUACAAU